UACAGUAUUGUGAGGUGUCCUCAUCUUCUACAGUAUCGUGAGGUGUCCUCAUCUUCUACAGUAUUGUGAGGUGUCCUCAUCUUCUACAGUAUUGUGAGGUGUCCUCAUCUUCUACAGUAUUGUGAGGUGUCCUCAUCUUCUACAGUAUUGUGAGGUGUCUUCAUCUUCUACAGUAUUGUGAGGUGUCCUCAUCUUCUACAGUAUUGUGAGGUCUGAUUACAUUGUAAAUAAUGCUCUCCCUCCCAGUCUGACUCCAGGUCUGAUUACAUUGUAAAUAAUGCUCUCCCUCCCAGUUUGACUCCAGGUCUGAUUACAUUGUAAAUAAUGCUCUCCCUCCCAGUUUGACUCCAGGUCUGAUUACAUUGUAAAUAAUGCUCUCCCUCCCAGUUUGACUCCAGGUCUGAUUACAUUGUAAAUAAUGCUCUCCCUCCCAGUCUGACUCCAGGUCUGAUUACAUUGUAAAUAAUGCUCUCCCUCCCAGUCUGACUCCAGGUCUGAUUACAUUGUAAAUAAUGCUCUCCCUCCCAGUUUGACUCCAGGUCUGAUUACAUUGUAAAUAAUGCUCUCCCUCCCAGUCUGAUUACAUUGUAAAUAAUGUUCUCCCUCCCAGUCUGACUCCAGGUCUGAUUACAUUGUAAAUAAUGCUCUCCCUCCCAGUCUGA